UACGAAGGGUGCAAGCGUUAAUCGGAAUUACUGGGCGUAAAGCGUGCGUAGGCGGUUGGCUAAGUCAGAUGUGAAAGCCCUGGGCUCAACCUGGGAAUGGCAUUUGAAACUGGCGAGCUAGAGUGUGAUAGAGGAUGGCGGAAUUCCCAGUGUAGAGGUGAAAUUCGUAGAUAUUGGGAAGAACACCGAUGGCGAAGGCAGCCAUCUGGACCGACACUGACGCUGAGGCGCGAAAGCAUGGGGAGCAAACAGG
rnacentral:rRNA from 1 species